CCUACGGGUGGCAGCAGUGGGGAAUAUUGCACAAUGGGGGAAACCCUGAUGCAGCGACGCCGCGUGAGUGAAGAAGUAUUUCGGUACGUAAAGCUCUAUUAGCAGGGAAGAAAAAAAGUCCUUUGGACUUUGGACGGUACCUGACUAAGAAGCACCGGCUAACUACGUGCCAGCAACCGCCGUAAUACAGAGGGGGCAAGCGUUAGCCGGAUUUACUGGGGGUAAAGGGAGCGUAGACGGCAGCGCAAGUCUGGAGUGAAAUGCCGGGGCCCCACCCCGGAACCGCUUUGGAAACUGUGCAGCUGGAGUGCAGGAGAGGUAAGCGGAAUUCCUAGUGUAGCGGUGAAAUGCGUAGAUAUUAGGAGGAACACCAGUGGCGAAGGCGGCUUACUGGACUGUAACUGACGUUGAGGCUCGAAAGCGUGGGGAGCAAACAGGAUUAGAUACCCGAGUAGUC
rnacentral:rRNA from 1 species